UUGGCCAUGGCCUCUGAGUCUGAGUGAGCAGAUUUUUGAUUCUUCUCUCCUCUAACAGGCCUGUGUUCUCUCUCUGCAGCUGCUGUGGACUCUGCGCAGGCUCAGAGGGAACUGCUGCCCUCUGUACAGACUGACACAACAGAGGACGACUCUCCCUCCGGCAGCGUGCACAGAGAGACUGAAGAAUCAAAAAACCUCAGCUGAAAGCCGACCCUGAAGGCAGGGUAGACAGGUUCAGUGAAGGUGGUGUUGAAGGUGUGGAGGUGGAUCAGAGAGUCAGAGGAGACAUUGUAGAAGGACAGAGAGCCAGAGGGCCAGUCCAGAUACACUCCCACUCUGUGAGAGAAGGAAGACGGGGGACAUAUGUCUGUUUUUUCUGAGUUGUGAUGAGCAGAGUCACUCCCACACAAACCAGUCCCUGCCACUCCACCUCCCAGUAACAACGCCCAGUCAGACCAUUUCUACACAGCAGCUGAAGGCAGUCGUCAAAUCUCUCCGGAUGAUCGGGAAGCUGAUUUGUCAGGAACAGUGACCCCAGAUCACCUAAAAAACCAGAAUAAGCUUUAAACCUUCACCUUUUAUCAAAUAAGUGGCGUCCAUCUUUGAAGGUCACAGGUUCCCCUCUGGAGUGAUCACUCCUCAGGGACACACAGCUGGGUCCAGGGGAGUCUGGUCUCUCCUGCUGAAUCCUGAGAGAAAAACCACCAGAAAAACUGACAAAGAAGUUACUGACUGUAUUAUCUCAACCACCUGAGGCAAAUGGGAAGGGCAGAAGUGUUCCUGCUUUGAACAAAAGAUGUAAUAUCUGUUUUCAUCUGGGAAUUUAAUCUUAUUUGGCUGACUGGAAGAGUGUCAUAAAAAUGUCUAAAACAUAACUAAAAUAUAGUAAAGAAAGUCCUUUUUUCAGUGGUCGAAGAAGUAAUCAGAUACUUUACAUGAGUAAAAGUACCACACAGUAACACAUAUGCAACAGAACAAUUAUAGAAAUAAAUAUUUUGGAUAUAUUUUAUGAUUAAAAGUAAAUGAACCUUCUUCCUUGUCACCUUUGUUGUAACUGUUACUGUGUAAUCAAUAACAUAGACGCCAUAAUAAAAAUAUUUGUCAGCCUUUA